rnacentral:rRNA from 1 species
ACGCUGGCGGCGUGCCUAAUACAUGCAAGUCGAGCGAACAGAUGAAGUGCUUGCACUUCUGACGUUAGCGGCGAACGGGUGAGUAACACGUAAGGAAUCUACCUAUAAGCGGGGGAUAACAUUCGGAAACGGGUGCUAAUACCGCAUAAUAUCUUCUUCCGCAUGGAAGAAGAUUGAAAGACGGCUCUGCUGUCACUUAUAGAUGACCUUGCGGUGCAUUAGUUAGUUGGUGGGGUAAUGGCCUACCAAGACGAUGAUGCAUAGCCGACCUGAGAGGGUGAUCGGCCACAUUGGGACUGAGACACGGCCCAAACUCCUACAGGAGGCAGCAGUAGGGAAUCUUCCGCAAUGGGCGAAAGCCUGACGGAGCAAUGCCGCGUGAGUGAAGAAGGCCUUCGGGUCGUAAAACUCUGUUAUAAGAGAAGAACAAAUUGUAGAGUAACUGCUACAGUCUUGACGGUAUCUUAUCAGAAAGCCACGGCUAACUACGUG